rnacentral:rRNA from 1 species
UCUGUAGGUGGUCAAAUAAGUCAACUGUUAAAUCUUGAGGCUCAACCUCAAACCUGCAGUCGAAACUAUUAGACUAGAGUAUAGUAGGGGUAAAGGGAAUUUCCAGUGGAGCGGUGAAAUGCGUAGAGAUUGGAAAGAACACCGAUGGCGAAGGCACUUUACUGGGCUAUUACUAACACUCAGAGACGAAAGCUAGGGUAGCAAAUG